GAGCUGGGCUCUUAAGACACCAGUCGGCCAAUGCUCCCGGCCGAAUGAAAAAACCUCUUCCUUCUUUAAUCCGGUGUCUGAGGAGUUUUGUCUGCCGCUGGUCCUGUUACAUUUCUUGGUUCCCUGACUGGGAAACGAGGUGAUUAACGGACCGUUGAGGCAGCCCUUUAGGCCGCUUAGGCCUGCCCUGUGGAGCAUCCCUGCGGGGGACUCCGACCAGCUCCAGCAACGCGGAUCCUGAGAGCGCUCCCACGUAGGAAAUUGCCCCGGUGGAACGCCUCGUCAGAGCAGCGCGUGGCAGGCCCCGGUGGAGGUUCAACGCAAUGGCUGAACACCGGGAAGGAACUGGCACUGAACAUCUGGUCUGGACAUCUGAAACUUGGAGAUCGAGUAUGGAUCAAGGACUGGAACGUAGCCUCUUUGUGCCCACGGUGGAAAGGACCCCAGACUGUCAUCCUGACCACUCCCACCGCUGUGAAGGUAGAGGGAAUCCCAGCCUGGAUCCACCGCAGCCGUGUAAAACCUGCAGCGCCUGAAACCUGGGAGGCAAGACCAAGCCUGGACAACCCUUGCAGAGUGACCCUGAAGAAGACGACAAGCCCUGCUCCAGUCACACCCGGAAGCUGACUGGUCCACGCAUGGCUGAAGCAUGAGGAAGCUCAUCGUGGAACUCAUUUUUCAUAAAUUUUGGACUUGUACAGUAAGGACUUCAACUGACCUUCCUCAGACUGAGGUAGGGCAAAAAGUUAAAACAGUCUUUGUUUAAAAGGGACUUGUGUGUAUAAUGCCACCCAGUACAAGGUAUGCAGCCCAGGAAGUGACCAGACUGAUGUGUGCUAUAACCCAUUAGAACUACUUAAUCCCCAUUGGAAAAGAGGAGAGUAUGUAACUCUAGGAGUCAAUGGAACUGGACUGGCAGGAAGAUCUGGGUAAUGUAGAUGAGAGUGAGAACUUCCACUAGUGAGUGAGGUUCUCAAAGAGGGGAAUGAGGAGAUAAGCCAUUUCUCUUACUGUCUCCUGUCUCUGAAGAGGAGGAGGAAGAAAAAGUUGUAAAACAGCAGGAAUGAAGUCAGUGCCAAGACCAGCCAGUGCCACUGAUGACCCAGCCUGAGGUUAAAAGAUUAACCAUCCCCCCCACACCGCCCCCUCCGCCCGCCCACUCUAACCACAUGUGCUUUCAAUCCAUCACGACCUUUUCGCAUGGAACCCCUUAGAGUUAUAAGCCUUUAAAAGGGCCAGGAACUCUGUCUUUGGGGAGCUCUGCUCUUAAGACGCGAGUCUGUCAAUGCUCCCGGCCAAAUAAAAAAACCUCUUCCUUCUUUAA